CACUGUCGCUCGCGCUGCCAGCCAACGCAACAGCUGGUUUGGAUUGCAUCAUCUUCAUGUCUGGCGGCCGCGGAUGUUUAUCUCCUUUGUUUUAAGUGGUUUUUGUGACAGAUCAACUGCAUAAUGGACCCUUAAUCGGAUGAUGGCUAUGUCGUACAAGGAGGAGCCAUUUUCAAGAGGAAAAGAGAAGAAUCCUUUAUUGCUGUUUGCAUAUCUCAGCUUUGAUCUGUUUCCGGGCACCCAGAUGGACGGUUGGAAAGAAAAUUUUUGCUGUGCAGCCUUCAACAAGUAACAAGAGCAUGCUGAGCAACAAGGGCACUACGAGUAGCAGCCGAAGCCAAAAUAAAGAUGUUUCUGCGCGGUCUGCUCGUCUACCGAACAAGAAUACGGAAGCAGGGCCAGGAAGAGCAAAAGAAAGAAACAAAAUUGAUUCACCAGUUAUGAAAGCCCUUGUUGUUCUAAGCCGCCAGUAGGACAAUGCACAGUAGUAGGACUUGAGUCUCUAUAGUCGAAGCAUAAAUAAUGCAUUUUAAAUUAAAAAAACGCUGGUGCAAUCCUUUGGUGGCUUUGAACAUCAAGGGCUUCCGCAAAUGGUGAAUUUUUUAUUCCCAAUUACUACAAAUGGUCAGUUCAAAUUUAAGGCAAAUUGAAUAGAGCAGUUAACCUGUGAGGCAAAAAUUAUGUUUUUUCGUACUCUGCAGCAACAGUUUCAGCCUCGCAGAUCAUCUCAACAGCUAUAGGUAUACUUCACCUCUAACUAAAACAAAUUCAAAUAUACGGAGUACCAUAUUGAUAAAGUUUGCGAGGUCGGAAAAGCUGCUGCACUGUACGAGAAGAUGAAAUUUUUAUAUUUGCUGUGUAAUUUUCACUACACGAUGAUCAUCUAGAAUUAGUUUCACAGACAAUAGAGCCAUCCAGCUUUCCUUAAAUUUAUGAUGAAAUCUCAGUGUGUUAGUAUUUUUGUUUUGAUGUGAAUUUGUGUUAAUGAAUUAACAAAUUUCGAAAGGUUAAAUGUUUGAAGCUGCAAACAGAUGGCACCACGUACUGAUGUAAAACCGUAUACUUCUGAUAUUGAAGGCUCGAUCCUGCUACUUAUGCAUUCUGCUCUAAAAAUAAUUUCUUUUUAAGCGUUGAAACUCAUAAUAAAUCCAGCCAAUCGUCACAGGAUCACGAAAAAAAUAGUAUUUCCCGACAGUUCUUUAUGCGGCGAUUGGCUGGGCUGAAUUUUCAUUCAACAAUAUUCAAAUGAAAUUUAAUUAUCAGGAUGUGUGAUAGCAGGAAUAAUUCUAAUAAGUGUUUUCAAAUGAAAAUUAACUGUUGGUGCCAUUUAUUUACAGCUUAAAAAACUAUUUGUAUGAGACUUUCGCAACUGUUAAAAUUGUAGGGAACAUUUUCAAGCUAAUUACGCUUACUUGGUGUGAUAUAAAGUAUUGUAGCUAUAUACUUCAAUUUAAUUGGCAGAUCUCAAUUGACUAGUUGUAUAAACCCGGUGUUCGAAGCCGUCAACGGAUGGCGCAACCAUAGACUUUCUUAAAACUUUAAUUUUUAAGGCACAUCCGUUGCGAUUUCAGACUCAAUCUAGCUACCGUGCAUUCUUAAUUAAUUAUGCUCACUUUUGAUGUGCUGAAAACUAAAAUCAGUCUAGCCGUUCGCCGUAGAAACGUUAGAAAACAUUUUUUUGAUUUCAAAAAAUAGUUUUUCACGUUUCUACGGCGAUUGGCUUAACCGAUUUUCGUUUUGAGCGCGUCAAAAGAAAGCAUAAUAUAUUUAAUUAAGAACGCACGGUAGCUAGAUUGAGUCUGAAAUUGCAGCGGAAGUGCCUAAAAACUAAUAUUUAAGUCUCUGGUUUCGCCAUCAAUAGGCGGCUUCGAACACUAACGGUUAAUAAAACUGGUCAAUGAAAAAGAAAACAGUGUAUUUAUAGUUAAAAUGUAUGUUAUGUUUUGAAAUGAAUAAAAUAUUAAUUGAAUUUUGAAAGAAUAGAACCAACGGAUUUAAUUUUGAAAUUCAGCCUUGAUUCUUUGUUGAUUUGGUCUUGACGUCAAGGAAAACAAACUUAAGUUAAAAACGUGAUUAACCGAAAAACAAUGCGAAAAAAGUGAAAUACCCGCAAGGGGAAUUUUUGGCUGACUUUGAAAUUCAAGAUUGAUUCAAGUCUGGAUCAAAGAAAAAAAGGACCAUUCCAGAUAUUGAAUCAAUCUUGACGUCAAACUUGAAUCAGGUUUGACGCCCUUGAAUGUCAGCCUUGAUUCAAUUUUGAAUCAGCAUUGAGUGGUUACUAG